AUUCGUGGCUACAGAACGAACGCUGGCGGCGCGUUUUAAGCAUGCAAGUCGAGCGGCAAGGGCCUUCGGGCCCCUAGAGCGGCGGACGGGUGAGUAACACGUGGACAAUCUGCCCCCCGGCCCGGGAUAGCCCAGGGAAACCUGGAUUAAUACCGGAUGAGACGGGACCCGCGAUGGCGGGACCCGGGAAAGGCGCUGCGGCGCCGCCGGGGGAUGAGUCUGCGUCCCAUUAGCUAGACGGCGGGGUAACGGCCCACCGUGGCGACGAUGGGUAGCCGGCCUGAGAGGGUGGACGGCCACAUUGGAACUGAGACACGGUCCAGACUCCUACGGGAGGCAGCAGCUAAGAAUCUUCCGCAAUGGGCGAAAGCCUGACGGAGCGACGCCCGCGUGAACGAAGAAGGCCGUGAGGUUGUAAAGUUCUUUUCGGGAGGGGGAACAACCGUGGCAGGGAAUGGCCGCGGGAUGACGUGAAUCCCGGAAUAAGCCCCGGCUAACUACGUGCCAGCCGCAGC
rnacentral:rRNA from 1 species